UACGUAGGCAGCGAGCGUUGUUCGGAGUUACUGGGCGUAAAGGGUGUGUAGGCGGUUUUCUAAGUUUGGUGUGAAAUCUCCCGGCUUAACCGGGAGGGUGCGCCGAAAACUGGGAGACUAGAGUGCGGGAUGGGAGAGUAGAAUUCCUGGUGUAGCGGUGAAAUGCGUAGAUAUCAGGAGGAAUACCGGUGGUGUAGACGGCUCUCUGGACCGCAACUGACGCUGAGACACGAAGGCGUGGGUAGCAAACAGG
rnacentral:rRNA from 1 species